GAAGGUGUAGUUCAGUGGUAGAGCGUGUGCCUAGCAUGCAUGAGGUCCUGGGUUCAAUCCCCAGUACCUCCA
rnacentral:tRNA from 1 species